rnacentral:lncRNA from 1 species
UAUACACAUAUAAAUUUAAUAUCUUUGGGGUUUUUUGGCUACUUAACAAACUAAACAUAAGCCUUCCCCUUCUUCAAAUCAACAUUAUUUUUCAAAGGCUUUCGCUGCCCACAACUCACAAUCUGUGUUCCAAUCUGAAGCCAUAAUGUUAUGUGUAAUCUGAGUGUCCUUGAAACUAUCUGCUGUUCCUUGAUGUUUUGUAUGCUGCUGUAGUAAUGAGUGUUAUUUUUUUUUAGCAUGUACACAUUUUUUAGUUGUGUCAGAGAUAUCCCUUUUGUCCCUUUUAAUGAGAAUUGAGACAUUUGCUGGAAUGAUUUUAGAGUAAUCUAGUUCAGAAGGUAGGAGAAUGCUAAAAUUUCAUAUUUUGGUGGACCCACUGGGGUACCCCAGAGUGAUAUUCUGACCUGCAUUGGGUUUCCCAAGACCAUCACCGAAGUUUUGAGGGGCCUUGGAGUUGUUCUGGAGCCUUGGGUGAGAGUGUGGCAAAGAAGGGUAGUCCCCGGGAACACCUAAGGAUCUGGAAGCAUCAUUUAAUCGAAACAGUAACCAUGAAGCGUCCCUCCACUUGUUACUUCUUAGUUACACCUGUUGCUUACAAUGAUCAGGACACUCCAGUUUUAUGGGGAAGCACAGACCUGCAGGUCUGAAAAUUGGAAUCCAUAUUUUCCGGAACACAAAUUUUAAUUUAGUAUAUUUUGUAUGCUUUCAAAACCAAACAGUUCAAAAUCCACCAUACAGAGAAUGACUCCCUUUGUUUCACUAAGAUCCUACAACCUAAAGCCCUUUCUUAAUCUUAUCUGUUUAAUUAGACUGAAGGUAAUGGUGGCCUCAGUCAGACUUGAAAGAUCUAUUUGAGUGAACAAAAUCUGCAAUAUCCUGUUAACAGGAACGGCCUAUUUUGUAGAAAAUGUUCUUGUCCUUGAUGAUUUAGCCAUUCACCUUACAUUGAAGGCUGGUCCAGAUGCUAACUCCACAUUGACUUUUCCUGUGUGCCUCUUUAAAGAGGUAAUUAAUCCAGUAAUGUAAAGGAGAACCCACAGUAAAACAUCUGUUAAAUAGCACUUGGAGUACUAGAAUUAGUAUUGUUCAUUUAUGUGCCAAAGUUUUACAUGCCCUCAUAAGAUCCAGUAUAUAGACCAGCUUUCUAAUCUCCAACCUCAAACCAAAGAUAUUUUUGAAUUACCUCAUAUAAUAGCAUCAAAUUAAGGGUAAUGGUAAGAGAAACCCAUCAUUCACAAAUGAAAUUUUCCAAACUGAAAAACUUUCUUUAAUGAAAAAAACUACAUGGAAAGCAAAAAAGAUUUUUAAAAGAUUUAUUUACUUGAGAGCAAGAGAGAGUGGAGGAGGAGCGGAGGGAAAGGGUCUCAAGCAGACUCCCCGCUGAGCGCAGAGGAUGUGGGGUUUGAUCUCAUGACCCUGAGAUCAUGACCUGAGCAGAAAUCAAGUUGGAUACGUAACCAACUGAGCCACCCAAGUGCCCUGGAAAGCAAAAUUUUAUGUUAAGUGUAAGUUGUAAUAGCAAGCAGUUUGUGACUUAGACGUGUUGAAAUGUUAAAGUAUACUGACAUCUAGCUACUUCUGAUAGAAGUGGGACCAAGGCAGUAACAUUUCAUAAAUAAACAAGGUUAAUUUACCUUAAAGCAAAAGAAAUAUCAGAAAGUUUACUUUGGGUGAGUGUGUGGCAAAGAAGCACCACACCAAGAAGGAAAAGUCGCCAGCCCUGUAAUCUGGACUCACCACUCAUUGUCUUCCUUUCUCCUUUAACGGCCUACAACAAUGACCUCUGAGAUCUUUUGACCUACAAAAGUGAAUGGUUCCAAUUCUGGCUUGUCAUUGGUCCCUGUUACCUAAAUUAAAAUUUUUUACAUCAAAAGUGUCCUAGGGCCCCCUGGUAAAGUGUCAGACAACAUAGUUUUUAUUAUAUUUUAGGAAGCCAUAUUAAUAUGCGCCCAGGUAUAUUACACCAUUUGCAUGUCAGAAUGAAGACAUGAAAGAAAUGUUCUUAUGUAGCCAAGUGAUUAUCUCAUGAAAAGAUUGGAGAAUCAUUUUUGUAGGAUGAGUUCCGUUUUGAGUGAUUUUGACUAUGCUCUCAAAAGCAUUUAAAAAUAUAUUUGCGUAUUUUUCUAGACUUGAGCCCAUAUAUUUCAGAUGUUCUGUGGGAAUAAUUUCAUUCAAUGUGUAUGAAAAAAAUCAUUGUUCUCACAUCUUUUGACAAUCAUUUAUGAAAAACAUUCCUGAUACAGUACUCAACUGCUUUGUUAGACAACUGGUAAAUGUCUUUGUAUUUGGACUGCCUGGAAAAGCAGUAUGUUUGUACAUAGUUUGCGGGUCAACAUGGAGACUAGUAUGAUUGUUAAAAUUAAUAAGUGCCAUAUAAAUAAUCUUAAUUAGCAAUGUCCCCUUCGAGCUAUCAGCCUUAGGGUUAGAUUCUGCCGAUUGCCAUUCAGGAGUUUUGAAAGUACACACUUUCUGCUAAAAUACUACUUAAUUCAUUUAAGUGGAAACUUUGUUUUUCAGUGAAACAGUACCUGUUCAGUUUCCUUGUAGAUCUCAGGGUCAGAAGAAAGGAGAAUUGAGCUUUCUCCCAGCUCUAAAACAUUCAAGCUUGCUUUUAUUCAUUUUGGUCAGCCUUUUUAAACAACCGAGACAACUUGGGAAUGCACUUCUAAUGAUUCCAAUUAGAAAAAAAUAAGCCCUGCAAGCAGAUCUUUUUUCUCUUUAGGAACAUCAUUGCUUUCUGGAAGCAGAAAUGAUUUUACUUUUGAAAUUGAAAGAGAUCCACAUAGUUUUGUGUUCUUGAUGUAUGCAAGGCACAUACAGCUUGCCUCUGCAGAUAAACCCAAACUUCAUUUUGUGUGAUUUUUAAAAAUUAUUUUGGAAGUGCAAAGACUAGCAAGGAAGAUGUGUUUAUUUUAUAUUAUAUAUUAUCUUUCAAAAUCUUGUGGAUUUUUUGUGGUUUAGGGAGCAGGUUGUGAUGAGUUUUUUUAUGAAUGCCUUCAUUCUACGCCAUCCUCAACUCAGAUUUUACAUAUUAAGUAUUGCUCACUGUCACCUAACAAACUAUAACAGUUUAGGAUUAUGUGUUUGCUUCAGUGUCCAUGAACUCCUCAUUUGUUUUUCUUACAGUCCACUUAGCCUUACCAUAUAAAAAGUGCUCAGUAACUGUUGGUUGAGUAAUCAGCACAUUUUCAAAACUCUAUCCAGAUCUUCAAAGACAAAAAAAAAAAAAAAAAAAAAAAAAAA